UAAUACGGAGGAUGCGAGCGUUAUCCGGAUUUAUUGGGUUUAAAGGGUGCGUAGGCGGGAUGAUAAGUCAGUGGUGAAAACCUGCAGCUUAACUGUAGACUUGCCGUUGAUACUGUUGUUCUUGAGUAUGGUCAAGGCAGGCGGAAUGUGUAAUGUAGCGGUGAAAUGCUUAGAUAUUACACAGAACACCGAUAGCGAAGGCAGCUUGCUGGGCCUGUACUGACGCUGAUGCACGAAAGCGUGGGGAUCGAACAGG
rnacentral:rRNA from 1 species